UAGGGAAUCUUCGGCAAUGGGGGGAACCCUGACCGAGCAACGCCGCGUGAGUGAAGAAGGUUUUCGGAUCGUAAAGCUCUGUUGUUAAGGAAGAACGAGUGUGAGAAUGGAAAGUUCAUACUGUGACGGUACUUAACCAGAAAGGGACGGCUAACUACGUGCCAGCAGCCGCGGUAAUACGUAGGUCCCGAGCGUUGUCCGGAUUUAUUGGGCGUAAAGCGAGCGCAGGCGGUUAGAUAAGUCUGAAGUUAAAGGCAGUGGCUCAACCAUUGUAGGCUUUGGAAACUGUUUAACUUGAGUGCAGAAGGGGAGAGUGGAAUUCCAUGUGUAACGGUGACAUGCGUAGAUAUAUGGAGGAACACCGGUGGCGAAAGCGGCUCUCUGGUCUGUAACUGACGCUGAGGCUCGAAAGCGUUGGGAGCGAACAGG
rnacentral:rRNA from 1 species